rnacentral:lncRNA from 1 species
UGUGGUGCUUUUUAUUUUCAUUACUUACUGCUAUAUUGAUUGAUUUGUUUACUAUCUCUUAACUACAUACGAAGCUAUUCUUGCUAAUUUUUAGAUUAUCUAAGUACUCUACUUAUUUGGUUAAUUGUUAUUAAGUUUUAAAUUUUUGAAAAGAAAUCAAAUUCAACUGUGCGCUCUCUUUCUGGGCUGCUACUUGGGCAACAGUAUAAACUACAAGAAUUUGAAAUUUUAGUGAUGAACUUUUAGUGAUGAAUACAAGUUUAGUCACCAAAAGCCUCAUAUUUAGUAAUAAAAAUAAGAAGUGGUUAGAGUUUUUUAAAGUGAAAAAAUAAUUUUAGCAUCAAAAUUAAUUUUGAUCAAAUUGCUAAUGAUAAUUUUAUAAUUCAUCGCUA